UACGAUAGGCCCAAACGUUAAUCGGAAUUACUGGGCGUAAAGCGUGCGUAGGUGGUUUCUUAAGUCUGCUGUGAAAGCCCUGGGCUCAACCUGGGAAUGGCGGUGGAUACUGAGGAGCUAGAGUGCGGUAGAGGAGGGUGGAAUUCCCGGUGUAGCGGUGAAAUGCGUAGAGAUCGGGAGGAACAUCAGUGGCGAAGGCGGCCCUCUGGACCAGCACUGACGCUGAGGCACGAAAGCGUGGGGAGCAAACAGG
rnacentral:rRNA from 1 species